GUAAUCGGUAUUUGCGGGCGUUCCGAUAUUCUCCGCUUCGGCCGGUUAUCUAUGUACAAUACGAGUGACAAUAUCGAAAACCACUUCCCCUCGACAACAAACCCUGCAGCGACUUUACUCCGUUCUACCGGGUAUCUAAUGUUGCGUGUGGCCCAAUCGUUUCCGAUCGACGUAUUUUAAUCCGUAGUUAAUUAAAAAUACGAGUGUCUCGACCCG